rnacentral:piRNA from 1 species
UAAAAGAGGCAGCUUUCUGCACCCUGC